rnacentral:tRNA from 1 species
GUUAAUAUAGUUUUAAUACAAACAUUAGAUUGUGGAUCUAAAAAUAGGAGUUAAAACCCCCUUAUAAACC